rnacentral:rRNA from 1 species
ACGCUAGCUACAGGCUUAACACAUGCAAGUCGAGGGGAAACGGCAUUUAGUGCUUGCACCGAAUGGACGUCGACCGGCGCACGGGUGAGUAACGCGUAUCCAACCUACCCAUUACUGUGGGAUAACCUGCCGAAAGGCAGACUAAUACCGCAUAGUCUUCGAUGACGGCAUCAGAUUUGAAGUAAAGAUUUAUCGGUAAUGGAUGGGGAUGCGUCUGAUUAGCUUGUUGGCGGGGUAACGGCCCACCAAGGCGACGAUCAGUAGGGGUUCUGAGAGGAAGGUCCCCCACAUUGGAACUGAGACACGGUCCAAACUCCUACGGGAGGCAGCAGUGAGGAAUAUUGGUCAAUGGGCGCGAGCCUGAACCAGCCAAGUAGCGUGCAGGAUGACGGCCCUAUGGGUUGUAAACUGCUUUUGUAUGGGGAUAAAGUCAAUCACGUGUGAUUGUUUGCAGGUACCAUACGAAUAAGGACCGGCUAAUUCCGUGCCAGCAGCCGCGGUAAUACGGAAGGUCCGGGCGUUAUCCGGAUUUAUUGGGUUUAAAGGGAGCGUAGGCCGGAGAUUAAGUGUGUUGUGAAAUGUAGACGCUCAACGUCUGACUUGCAGCGCAUACUGGUUUCCUUGAGUACGCACAACGUUGGCGGAAUUCGUCGUGUAGCGGUGAAAUGCUUAGAUAUGACGAAGAACUCCGAUUGCGAAGGCAGCUGACGGGAGCGCAACUGACGCUGAAGCUCGAAGGUGCGGGUAUCGAACAGGAUUAGAUACCCUGGUAGUCCGCACAGUAAACGAUGGAUGCCCGCUGUUGGUACCUGGUAUCAGCGGCUAAGCGAAAGCAUUAAGCAUCCCACCUGGGGAGUACGCCGGCAACGGUGAAACUCAAAGGAAUUGACGGGGGCCCGCACAAGCGGAG